GCCCUGUUGCACUUUGCGCUGCUGCACCGACAUGAACCCAAACCCUGAACCACAACAGCAGUUCUUAUUUCAGUCCCGGAUCGCUCAGUGACCGACACACAACGCAAAACAGCUGGAGAAGCAGGACUCAAGAGACCAAGAAGGAGCAACUUUUCUGAUCUACGACACCACAAAGUUAUUUCGGCUUUAUACCACCUCCAAAGUUAUUCACCUCUUCUUCCAGCCUUAUAUGCAGUUGUAAGACUCUAACCAGGAAUCAGCCAUUUGCUAUGGGGAGUCUCCCCAUAGCCAUUUGCUAUGGGGAGACUCCCUACAGGUAAGUUGGAGUGUAUGUGUGUGUCAGUGUCAUGUUGUGUGUGCACAGCAUUGUAGAGUGUGUGUCUCUUGAGUCCAACAUCUCUCACCUGUUUAUCUCAUGCUUUGUCUCUCUUCAUCCAUCAGGAUCACAUGACUUGAUUCCCGGUCUGAGCAACAACUUUGUUGGGUCCAGGACCCACAGAGUCACUUGUCUCACUUAUCAUCAAAACCACGUCAUAUCACAAAGGAGCUCUGGACCGGAGGCGUCAGGAUGCUAGGACUCUAACCAGGAAUCAGCCAUUUUCUAUGGGGAGACUCCCUACAGGAUCACAUGACUUGAUUCCCGGUCUGAGCCACAGAGUCACCUGUCUCACUUAUCAUCAAAACCAUGGAGCCGAAGUUGUAACGCAUCUGUCAUCAGAACUGGACGCCUCCUUUCACCCAGCCCGGCCUUCGGCAGGAGGGUCCCCCAUAUGAGCCAGGUUCUGCCCAAGGUUUCUUCCUGUUGAAAGGGAGUUUUUCCUUGCCACUGUCGCCUUAAGUGCUUG